CACGUAGGAGGCAAACGUUAUCCGGAUUUACUGGGCGUAAAGCGCGUGUAGGUGGUUCUGUAAGUAGGGCGUGAAAGCUCCCGGCUCAACUGGGAGAGGUCGUUCUAAACUGCAGAGCUAGAGGAUGGUAGAGGGAGGUGGAAUUCCAGGUGUAGCGGUGGAAUGCGCAGAUAUCUGGAGGAACACCAGUGGCGAAGGCGGCCUCCUGGACCAUUCCUGACACUCAGACGCGAAAGCUAGGGUAGCAAACGGGAUUAGAUACCCCCGUAGUCCCU
rnacentral:rRNA from 1 species